rnacentral:misc_RNA from 1 species
AAGUCGUAACAAGGUUUCCGUAGGUGAACCUGCGGAAGGAUCAUCAUUGAAUCUUUGAAUGAAGCAUCCCUGUGCACUGUUGGCGCACCUUUUAUAGGUGCGCACAUUAUAUUCAACCCGCUUUGACUUGAAUCUGCUCUUUACGAAAAGCACACAACUUUUAACAACGGAUCUCUUGGUUCUC